rnacentral:rRNA from 1 species
UACAGAGGGUGCAAGCGUUAAUCGGAAUUACUGGGCGUAAAGAGCACGUAGGUGGUUUGACAAGUUGGGUGUGAAAUCCCCGGGCUUAACCUGGGAACUGCAUUCAAAACUAUCAAACUAGAGUAGAGUAGAGGGAAGUGGAAUUUCCGGUGUAGCGGUGAAAUGCGUAGAUAUCAGGAGGAACACCAGCGGUGUAGACGGCUUUCUGGACCAUUGCUGACGCUGAGACACGAAAGCGUGGGUAGCAAACAGG